AUACUUACCUGGCAGGGAAGAUACCAUGAUCACGAAGGUGGUUUUUCCCAGCGUGGGGCUCAUCGAUUGCACUCCGGAUGUGCUGACCCCUGUGAUAUUCCCAAAUGUGGAAAACUCGACUGCAUAAUUUGUUGUAGUGGGGGACUGCAUUCGCGCUUUCCCCUG
ensembl:snRNA RNU1-82P RNA, U1 small nuclear 82, pseudogene